CACAAAAGCACCUUCCGCCAUGUUGAUUUGAUUGUUGGUGGAUUAUUUGUGACCUUUAGCGUUUAUACCAAGUUAGCUAGGUGACGGUGAUAGCAGACACUACAGUUCUCCUUGGACCAUCUGUGAACGUUGUGACGAUCUGUGAAUACAAGAAUGGGAUGACCUUUCAAAGUGAUUAAGUCGGAUCAGUGCCGGAGUUCAAUGCCGAGAUGAGCCUCUCAUAUGCACUGUGGUCACGCCCCACUUUAAGACACGACAUCGGAUACAGGGCUUGAAAGGACGAGAGUGCUUGCCCCGUGAGCCCAACCUGGUGUUAGCUAACUUGGGCUCCAUUGAUAGACACCAACUUACCGUCGCAGUUAUAGAGAAGGUUGGCUUGAAGUAUGUCUAAUUCGCUGAGUCCCACUCUCUGCCCGAUCUCAGGCGCUUCUCCUUCAUCGUUCUGCUUGGUUGUCUCCAGUGUUGGAAGCAGGAGUGACAUCUUGGAGAAGAACGCGCGCCCGUACUGCAUGAUGGAUCCGUAGUCGUAAGGCACGUUACGAGAGUCGAUGAAUUUUGUAGAGAACUUGUAGAAGUUGCGCUCGUACCCUGGAGAUAAAAACAACUAAAAUAAACAAACAUACAUAGAGACUCAGGUCUCCUUUAAGCUCCAGUUGCUACCUAGAGGGUAAUACGCCAUGAUGGAGUACCUCAACAAAGCGCAUACAAAGAACAUGGAAAUAUUGUUUGGGAGGAAGAAUAUAAUUUUCGGGUGUUAUUUUUUUUUAUGUUAACUGUUGUACUUCAAAGACAGUCCUAGACAGCUUAUUCCCCGUGAACGUAGAAAUCAUGUAUCUGGUCCCUAUUUUUAUCAGUAUGUAUUUUAGCUUAAGAUUUUCACUGGCUAUUGGGAUUCAUGUUCAGAUCCACUUGCAGGGCUAUCUAGUCCGAUUCUCGUUGACAUGACCUUUUAUUCUUUUAUAGUUAUUAAUUAUUACGCUUGAAAUCUUACCUGGAACAAUGUUCUUUUGUACAACGUGCACAAACUCGUCCCUAUCGGGCCUGCUGUGCUCGUGGAAAAAGCCGACAGCAUGGCCAAGCUCGUGGAUGAUGUUCCCUGUUUUACACCGCAGCGCGGGGUCCCCGAUAGUCAACUUCUGUUCACCCCCACCCCUACCCACUCGGGAUGCACACCUUGGAAACAAACACAAAACUAGUUAUCGCCCGUAUACCUCACCCCUACCUACACGGGAUGCACACCUUGGAGACAAACACAAAACUAGUUAUCUCCCGUAUACCUCACCCCUACCCACACGGGAUGCACACCAUUACGUAAAACUAGUUAUCUCCCAUACACCCCACCCCUACCCACACGGGAUGCGCACCUUGGAAACAAACACAAAACUAGUUAUCUCCCGUAUUCCUCACCUCUACUCUUCACCGGAUGAGAACAUUUCAAAUAGGAAUUGAUAUACCACCUCCUUCCCUUUAAAUACGAAUUUGAUAUACCACUUAUCCCCUUCAAAUAGGAAUUUGAUAUACCACCUACCCCCCUUCAAAUACGAAUUUGAUAUGGUCCUUGUCUUUUGUCUCUUGGAACUUCAGACACGUUUUGUCCUGCCAAUGAUCAAUGGCCUCACGGGUGUUUUUCCGUCCGAUCUCGUCUGGCACAUAAGAGAUAAGAAUCAGACGUAUGGACAAGAAAGUAGAGAUUACUAGCAUCAUAACAUGUAAGGUCAUCCCACCAGUUGAUGGUCCUUCAUUUGUUGGCCUCCCUCGAUAGCUUAUUUUAAGGGGCAUUCCGGAAAUAUUCUCUUCAGGGACGUCAACUAAACCGGUCUGGCAUAGGUACACCUUUUGGAAAAAGAAAGCUUAUAUUAUCUCCUACCGACAGGGCACGCUACUUUUUCUCUCGCGGUGCGAGCGGCGUGAAGAUUUUUAAAGUGAGAGUGUCACGCCUUCCAGGCAAAGGCUUGCUGAACUCACCAACGCUAUCGUCGAAGUAGUAGUUCACAGUUCUCUUUGGCCAAAGGAAUUUCUCGUCCUUGAUCAAGGCGCGCUUGGAGCCCAUUUGAGUGUUCUGUGGUUUUCCACCUUCCUUCAAUCCUUCCAAGUAUUUCUGUUGCUCUUCACUCAGGAUCAUGUCGCCCUCGAAAUAGUUGUGUCCAAAAUUCUCCUCUCCUGCAACCCAUUUGAAGAUAGCCUAUUCAAAUGGUAUGUAGCGCUACGUCAUGACCACCCCACCCCUCCCCUCUUCAUCACUGGAACAAGGUUUAAUCAUUAUUCCAGUUUAACUAUAUACAUCAGUUAUGUUGAGCUCUUCUUUUGAUAUUACCCAUGGAAUCAUGGUAUAUUUCUUGUAUUAUUCCUCCUGGCCGUCAGUAUAACUGAACACAACUACUGGCAAAUUGUAACAUUUGGGCCGGUUUUUCUCUAAUUUUCUCUAAUACUACUCAUGAUGUACUGUAUACCUCCUUCUACCUCUGCUAUCAGAACUAUUGGCGGGGUAUACUAGGGAGUUUUGUCCCAGUAAACUAUUGCAUACGAUUUCCAUGCAUUUUUUUAAUCCCCCUUCCAACCUUGUGAUACUUUCUUCGUUCUACUAUUCGCCGAAGACGUAUCUUGAUGUGACAGUAUUGUCAUAUUUCCCUUAGUAUGUCACUCACCCAACUCUUCGCCUUGAUUCCCGAUCCCUUCCGCUUUUUCCCCUAAAUUAAAACAAACAAGAAUCUCAGCAAUGGCAACCAUUAGUAUAUAAAAGCUGUAGUUGCUCUUCAUGUUUUGUCUAUGAGUCUAUGUAAAUCCGCUUUUUGUGACGCUGCAGGUGGGAAAAUCAGGGCAACGCGCACAGUCCCCGUGAUGUGUGAAAACCCGUGCAUGUAGCUUCGUGAUGUGUAUAAUUCCGUGCAUGUAGCUCCGUGAUGUGUGCAACCCCGUGCAUGUAAAUCCGUGAAGUGUGCAUAACACCGUGUGCCCGCACCUGUUUAUGGGCUGUAACGAUAUUUUACGGUGAUAUGACAAAGCUGGGACGCGAUUGGUCGAAUCGUUUUACCAGCGGGUAGAUAAAUUACGAUUAUACAAUGGUAUUCCUGUAUCGUGAGCUAGACAAUACAAGCCGGCGCAAUUGUAUAGGAUGUUGAUUUAGUUAUAGAACCGUUUUAGAUAUGCGUUUUUGAGAAAAGAUCGGCUCCUAAACCAUGCAUGUUCGACAUUAAGGUAAGAAAUGAUGACGAAAACGUUUGCAGAAUCGAAGCAAGAGACACGAAGAAAUUGAAGGAUCCUCAGACAGGAAUCUCAAAGCGCCAAAGGCGACAGCGAGAUCCUAGACGGAAAAAAUCUUAAAGGCGACGUCGGGACGGUAAGAUCCCAGAAGAAAAGAAUCUCGAAGGCGACGACGAGAUCCUUAGACGCAAAGAAUCUCAAAGGCGACGACGAGAUCCUAGGAAACAAUCUCAAAGGCGACGGCGAGAUCCUCAGACGGAAAGAAUCUCAAAGGCGACGACGAGAUCCUCAGACGGAAAGAAUCUCAAAGGCGACGGCGAAAAAUUCGACGAGACCGAGUAAAUCCUCUCCGCUGUAAGGCUAGGUUUAAACGUCGUAUUAUCCAUGAGCCAUAUUUAAUGCAAAUGCAUGCAAAUGAAGAUGAAACAAUCGACUUGAUUCUUUUGCAUGUAUUUGCAUUGAAUACGGCUCAUGGAUAAUACGACGUUUGAACUUAAGGAAAACUAAGGAACGCUGAAAAGUUCCAAGUGAGGUAGCGCGGGUAAUUGGAUCUCGAAAGUUGUAUCGCAAGAUGGAUCUCAAAGGAAGACAAGACCGUCAACAGUACUUGAAUAAUUUAUUGUGAAAAUUAGAAAAGAUGAAACGGGUCACCCGACAAA